ensembl:snRNA U2 U2 spliceosomal RNA
GAAGCAGCAUCAGCCAUGUGGAAGUCCAGUGUAGUAUCUGUUUUCGCGAGGACAAUAGAAGAAGUAAAUUUUAGGAGCAGGGAGGUUGAAGGGAAGCUUGCUUCAUCCAAUUCAUGCAUUGACUUGGUAUUGCAGUACCUCUAGGAAUGGUGCACAUCCU